rnacentral:lncRNA from 1 species
GGGUGCAAUGUAUGUUUGACGUGUCAUGGGCUGGAGAAUGAUUGUAAUUAGUUCAAUACCGAAAAGACAAACUUAAAUUUACAUCACUACAAACAUGGAAAAACGGAGCAUAUGGACUAGUCGGCCAUGUAUGAAACAUGAUAUAUUAGCCGCGGACUGAGAUGUUUUGGUCGGUCAUGGAUUGAAGUAUGAUUGUGACUAGUCUAGUAU